rnacentral:misc_RNA from 1 species
UUUCCGUAGGUGAACCUGCGGAAGGAUCAUUAAAAAUGAAGCCGGGAAACCGGUCCUUCUCACCCUUGUUUAUCUCAAUUUGUUGCUUUGGUGGGCCGCGCAGGCACCGGCUUCGGCUGGAUCGUGCCCGCCAGAGGACCACAACUCUGUAUUAUAUGUCGUCUGAGUACUAUAAAAUAGUUAAAACUUUCAACAACGGAUCUCUUGGUUCUG